UGCCAGGCUAAAAGAAACAAAAAUGAUCAGACCUAACACUCUACAUCUGCAAGUAGCUGAUAUCAUAAAAUGGUCAGCAUGGAUGUCAGUUUUCAGGAGACAAGAAGCAAUUGGUGGAUAUUCUUAGCUAUCGAUGGGCAUGAAGACCAUCUCAAACAGCUCUGAUGGCCGUGAUGUUUCUUUGUUGCAUUGUAUGUACCGCAUAAGCGCAGUUAUAACGACAAUAAAAACUGACACCAUAUACCAGAUUUCUCGAUGUAGUGCUUUCAGAUUUCUUGACAGAAUA